rnacentral:lncRNA from 10 species
GGAAAGAUGAGUUCAGGUCACAAAUGAAGCAAUAUGGAGGUCAUUGGUGGCCUAGCUUUGCAACAGUUAAACUGAUUGACACUCCUUCUUAGAAAAUGUCUUCCUUCUUGAUAUUACAUAUAAGUAUCUUUCCUGGUUCUCAGUAAAAACCUGUUAACUUCUUUAUUCAUUUAUUCAAUACGUUGAAAAGUUAUCGAAGGUCAGGUUCUGUUUCCUGCUCCUCUGCUACAUCUACUGCUUAAAUGUCAUAGCCCUCAGUCUAUGUGCUUUUCUCAGUAUACACAUUUACCUUAGGAGGCUUCAUCUAAACCCACUGCUAAUGAUUCUCAAACUUGCUUCUCCAGGCAAGAUUUCAUUCUUACUUUUCUCAACUGUGUGCAGAAUGUCUUUAUGCUGGUGUUCAGAAGACACCAUAUACUGACUUGUCAUUAGUUGUAAAAAUAAAAGGUUUAAAAUAUUUAUUCUGAUCUACCCCUUUUAUGUUUUUGAAUUAUUUUAUGAAACCAAAUUCAAAUAAAACAGAAAGUUAUAAAACAGAAGUAAAAGUUCUCCUAGUCGGAGAAAAAAAGGUAGCAUCUCAUGAAGAGUGAGGAAUAAUAAAACAGAAAUUAGAAAAAUGUAAAAUCUUUUUGCAAUACUUUCACAAAAUAAAUGUUUAACUUUGGGGAACUUGCAUUUUUAAACUUGCAAAAUAGUGGCCAAAUGUGCAGAUGAGCAUGUACAAAUGUAUACGAUGUCUUUAAAUAUCUAUAUACUGCACAAUAGCUUAGUGAUCCAAUGGAUAAUAUCUUAACUGUUUUUAUGUUGAUAGAAGCUCAGAUGACUUUGUUGGUUUCUAUUGUUGUAUUAAUUAUUCUUGUAUACAUAAUUUU